rnacentral:tRNA from 1 species
GGACGAUUAGCUCAGUUGGCUAGAGCACCUGCUUGACGUGCAGGGGGUCGUAGGUUCGAGUCCUGUAUCGUCCACCA